GUAGGUGAACCUGCGGAAGGAUCAUUAAAGAGACGUUGCCCUUCGGGGUCGACCUCCCACCCUAUGUUUAUCAUACCUCUGUUGCUUUGGCAGGCCCGUCCUCGGACCGCCGGCUCCGGCCGGCCCGUGCCUGCCAGGGAACCUAAAACUCUGUUUGUUAAUGCAGUCUGAGUAAACUUAAUUAAUAAAUUAAAACUUUUAACAACGGAUCUCUUGGUUCUG
rnacentral:misc_RNA from 1 species